GGGCGUGCGCCGACGAUGGAGAGUCGGGCCGGGCUGUAAACCCGGUGCCUCGCGCUUAGCAGGUUCGAUUCCUGCCACGCCCA
rnacentral:tRNA from 1 species